AGUGAACGCUGGCGGUAGGCCUAACACAUGCAAGUCGAACGGCAGCACAGUAAGAGCUUGCUCUUACGGGUGGCGAGUGGCGGACGGGUGAGGAAUACAUCGGAAUCUACUUUUUCGUGGGGGAUAACGUAGGGAAACUUACGCUAAUACCGCAUACGACCUACGGGUGAAAGCAGGGGAUCUUCGGACCUUGCGCGAUUGAAUGAGCCGAUGUCGGAUUAGCUAGUUGGCGGGGUAAAGGCCCACCAAGGCGACGAUCCGUAGCUGGUCUGAGAGGAUGAUCCGCCACACUGGAACUGAGACACGGUCCAGACUCCUACGGGAGGCAGCAGUGGGGAAUAUUGGACAAUGGGCGCAAGCCUGAUCCAGCCAUACCGCGUGGGUCAAGAAGGCCUUCGGGUUGUAAAGCCCUUUUGUUGGGAAAGAAAAGAAGCAGGUUAAUACCCCGCUGUUCUGACGGUACCCAAAGCAUAAGCACCGGCUAACUUCGUG
rnacentral:rRNA from 1 species